rnacentral:rRNA from 1 species
AUUGAACGCUGGCGGCAGGCCUAACACAUGCAAGUCGAGCGGAUGAAGGGAGCUUGCUCCUGGAUUCAGCGGCGGACGGGUGAGUAAUGCCUAGGAAUCUGCCGGGUAGUGGGGGAUAACGUCCGGAAACGGGCGCUAAUACCGCAUACGUCCUGAGGGAGAAAGUGGGGGAUCUUCGGACCUCACGCUAUCAGAUGAGCCUAGGUCGGAUUAGCUAGUUGGUGGGGUAAAGGCCUACCAAGGCGACGAUCCGUAACUGGUCUGAGAGGAUGAUCAGUCACACUGGAACUGAGACACGGUCCAGACUCCUACGGGAGGCAGCAGUGGGGAAUAUUGGACAAUGGGCGAAAGCCUGAUCCAGCCAUGCCGCGUGUGUGAAGAAGGUCUUCGGAUUGUAAAGCACUUUAAGUUGGGAGGAAGGGCAGUAAGUUAAUACCUUGCUGUUUUGACGUUACCAACAGAAUAAGCACCGGCUAACUUCGUG